rnacentral:rRNA from 1 species
GUGGGGAAUAUUGGACAAUGGGCGCAAGCCUGAUCCAGCCAUGCCGCGUGAGUGAUGAAGGCCUUAGGGUUGUAAAGCUCUUUCACCGAUGAAGAUAAUGACGGUAGUCGGAGAAGAAGCCCCGGCUAACUUCGUGCCAGCAGCCGCGGUAAUACGAAGGGGGCUAGCGUUGUUCGGAUUUACUGGGCGUAAAGCGCACGUAGGCGGUUUGUUAAGUCAGGGGUGAAAUCCCGGAGCUCAACUCCGGAACUGCCUUUGAUACUGGCAAGCUAGAGUCCGGAAGAGGUAAGUGGAACUCCUAGUGUAGAGGUGGAAUUCGUAGAUAUUAGGAAGAACACCAGUGGCGAAGGCGGCUUACUGGUCCGUUACUGACGCUGAGGCGCGAAAGCGUGGGGAGCAAACAGGAUUAGAUACCCGUGUAGUCC